rnacentral:lncRNA from 1 species
CUUCUUCUUCUUCCCUUCCGCUGGCUUCUGUGCCUCGAGGCUCUCGUGCGUGCGUGCUCGUCUAGCCACCUAGAUCCCGAUCUCCUCACACAUGCAUAUCGCCACAUGAUUUUUUUUCCCCGGGAAAAUCACUAAGAGCUUUAUUAAAUGAAAGCUGAACAGUCCGUCAACAGGCUACUGAUCAGGAAGCUGAAAGUACU